CCUACGGGAGGCAGCAGUGGGGAAUAUUGCACAAUGGGGGAAACCCUGAUGCAGCGACGCCGCGUGAGUGAAGAAGUAUUUCGGUAUGUAAAGCUCUAUCAGCAGGGAAGAAGCAAGACGGUACCGGACUAAGAAGCCCCGGCUAACUACGUGCCAGCAGCCGCGGUAAUACGGAGGGGGCAAGCGUUAUCCGGAUUUACGGGGUGUAAAGGGAGCGUAGACGGUAUGGCAAGUCGGAAGUGAAAGCCCAGGGCUUAACCCUGGGACUGCUUUGGAAACUGUUAGACUAGAGUGCUGGAGCGGUAAGUGGAAUUCCUAGUGUAGCGGUGACAUGCGUAGAUAUUAGGAGGAACCCCAGUGGCGACGGCGGCUUACUGGACCGUAACUGCCGUUGAGGCUCGACCGCGUGGGGAGCAAACAGGAUUAGAUACCCGGGUAGUC
rnacentral:rRNA from 1 species